UAAAUUAUUUCUGGUUUAUUAUGUUUAUUUAUUUGUUUAUAUAUAUAUAUAUAUAUAUUUAUAUUAAUUAUUAUAUUAUUUUAAUAAUAAUAUAAAUAUUUUUAAUUUAAUUAUAGAUUUUAAUUUUUAUAAUUUUAUGAAAUGUAAAAUUAAGUAAUAUAAAUUUUAUUAUUAAUAAAAAUUUGUGCCAGCAAUUGCGGUUAAACAAAAAAUAUAAAUAUAUAAUUUUAUUUAUAUUUAAAUUAAUUGUUAUAUAUAUAUAUAUAUAUAUAUAUAUAUUAUUAAAAAGUGAAAUUUUAAUAAUUUAAAUAUAAUAUUUAUUUAAUAAUUAUGAUUUUAAAAAAUUUUUAUUAUAGACUAGGAUUAGAUACCCUAUUAUUUUUAUUAAAAAUUAUAAAAAUUAAAAUAAAGUAUUUAAAGAUAUAAUCUUAAAAUUUAAAGAAAUUGGCGGUAUUUUAAUCAGGUUAGAGGAACUUGUCGUGUAAUUGAUAAUCCACGAAUGAUUUUACUUAAAUUUUUAGUUUGUAUAUCGUUGUUAUUUUAAUAUUUUUAUUGAAAUUUUGUUAAUAUUAUAAAAUUUUUAUUAAAAAUUAAAAUCAAAUCAUGAUGCAGCGUAUAUUUAAGAAUAAGUAUUUUUAUUAGAUGAGUUACAUUUAUUAAAUAAAUAAUAGAUUUAUUUUUGUAAGUAAAAUAAUGACAUUGGAUUUAAAAGUAAUUUAAAUUAGUAUUGUUUAAAUGAUUAUUGUUAUAAAAUAUGUACAGAUUGCCCGUCGCUCUUAAUUAAUGAGUUAAUAUUAAUAUUUUAAUAAUUUUUUAAUUUUUUAGUUUAAGAUAAGUCGUAACAAAGUAGGAGUACUGGAAAGUGUUUCUAGAAAAAUUU
rnacentral:ncRNA from 1 species